rnacentral:rRNA from 1 species
UGGGGAAUAUUGGACAAUGGGCGAAAGCCUGAUCCAGCCAUGCCGCGUGUGUGAAGAAGGUCUUCGGAUUGUAAAGCACUUUAAGUUGGGAGGAAGGGCAGUAAGCGAAUACCUUGCUGUUUUGACGUUACCGACAGAAUAAGCACCGGCUAACUCUGUGCCAGCAGCCGCGGUAAUACAGAGGGUGCAAGCGUUAAUCGGAAUUACUGGGCGUAAAGCGCGCGUAGGCGGCUAAUUGAGUCGGAUGUGAAAUCCCCGAGCUUAACUUGGGAAUUGCAUUCGAUACUGGUUAGCUAGAGUGUGGGAGAGGAUGGUAGAAUUCCAGGUGUAGCGGUGAAAUGCGUAGAGAUCUGGAGGAAUACCGAUGGCGAAGGCAGCCAUCUGGCCUAACACUGACGCUGAGUUACGAAAGCAUGGGGAGCAAACAGG